CGUAGGUGGCAAGCGUUAUCCGGAUUUACUGGGCGUAAAGGGAGCGUAGGCGGAUAUUUAAGUGGGAUGUGAAAUACCCGAGCUUAACUUGGGAGCUGCAUUCCAAACUGGAUAUCUAGAGUGCAGGAGAGGAGAAUGGAAUUCCUAGUGUAGCGGUGAAAUGCGUAGAGAUUAGGAAGAACACCAGUGGCGAAGGCGAUUCUCUGGACUGUAACUGACGCUGAGGCUCGAAAGCGUGGGGAGCAAACAGGAUU
rnacentral:rRNA from 1 species